rnacentral:tRNA from 1 species
UGUGGCGCAGCUUGGUAGCGCGCUUCGUUCGGGACGAAGAGGUCGUGGGUUCGAAUCCCGCCACCCCGA